CACGCCGGCUGUCAGGCUGCGCUUCACACACACACAUGGACUGUUCAAUCAAUAUUUGUCCUGGAAUGAUAGGUGGUGGAAAAUUUCUAAUUGAAAGCACAGGGAACGCUCAGCUAUGAUUUUGGUGAGGGAUCUGCAGCACGGGGCAACAAUCUCAAUCCCCACAUUCUGGACCUAACAGCAAAAACAUCACAACGAACACAAAGGCUCCACAAACCUCUUCCAGGUUGGCAGCACGGGCACAGAAAGGCUGGUGGGGCACAGACAUCCCAGCCUCCCCUACCCUGGGAUUUAUCCCUGCUGGCAUUGGAGGUUUCAUUUCAGGUCAGUCCAGGAACAGCGUGAGGAUAUAAUCGUGUGGGUGACAGCCAGCCAUUACCCCCUGCCUUCAAGAAAAUGAUGAUCUCAAGUCAAUGAGGAUCCUGCUGCCUCGAAUCAUCGCUGUUCUUUUCCUCUGCGUGUGUUCACUGUAACAGAUUGUUUGCUCACGUUCAGACCAUAAGGUCGCGACUCAGUUCUUUCCCCCUAUCAAGAGUUAAAGGAAAUCUGAGCAUGUGAGGCCCUAAGCGUGGACUUUAGAACUUGGCUCAAAAUAAAAUAAAAUAAAAUAAUUAAAACACAAACAAAAAAUAUACCCAGACAGAAACCUACCCUCUCGCCUAGUGACUUAAUUACAAAACACGCACAGGGUGCAACACAGCAGCCAGCUCAGUCAAGGCUGUGAUGGAGCUGAUGGGGGGCAUUCAGGUAACUAUGAGAGGGGCAGGGCACCUCCAAGUGCUCUGUGUGACUAUGGGAGGUACCAGAGUUCUCUCAGAUGGUGGACAGGGUAAUUUCUGCCACACGGGGGAAAGCUCUGCAGGAGAUCUCCAAGAACAUCACGGAUCCUUACUGAAUGGAGGCAAGUACAGAGGCAGGAUGAUGGCUUCCAGGCAGAAGCUCUCAUGGAAUUUAAUUCGCCAGAAAAUUCACCAGCUCCAUCAGUCCUGUCAGAAGGAGUCAGAGCAGAGAUGUUGUUCCUCUGGCACUCUGUCCUGCCUGAGCACCCAUCCUCCAGCACAAGAGAAAGCACUGCUGUGUCCUGCAUCAGAUGUGCUUUAUUCCUCGUGAAGCUGAUGAAAAAGAAAAAAGCCUUUAAGUCGGUCACGCUGCAUUAAAGACUGCUUUGAUGGACUUCAAAGAGCCUUGCUGAAACCAGCAACUGUGCAGGCAGGGCCAUGAGGCUUUCAAGAGAGGCAAAGUAUGAGCGCAGAGCACUUCCCGGACUGGAGACAGCAUCUGCUUCCAGGGGAGAGCUUUGACUGGAAGGCAGGUGGAGAGCCAGCCAUUCCCACAUCCAGGUUGCUGGUUUAGCACCAUCCUGCUGCAUCCAUAGCAAAGGGCAGCCCUGCUCCUUCUUUAGGCCAUCUCCCUUCCAUCUGUGGCUUACAGCUCCUCACAGGGAGAGGAGGGGCAGCGCUGAGCUCUGCUCUGUGCGACAGCGACAGGGAACAGCAUGGAGCUGUGUCAGGGGAGGGGCAGCUGGGGGUUAGGGACAGGGGCUGCACCAGAGGGUGGUGGGCAUGGAACGGGCUGUCUAUGCGACUGCCAUAAGGGGAGAGGAACCUCCCUAUACGAAGCAGGGCACACCAGCACACUCCUUGAGACAGCAUUUGUC
ensembl:lncRNA